AAUGGGAUAGCUGGGUCAAAUGGUGGUUCCAUUCCAAGUUUUCUAAGGAAUCUCCUUAUUGCUUUCCAAAGUGGUUGCAUCAUUUGGUAAUCCUACCAGCAAU
rnacentral:pre_miRNA from 1 species